rnacentral:rRNA from 1 species
GAUGAACGCUAGCGGCAGGCUUAAUACAUGCAAGUCGAGGGGCAGCAUGAGUGUAGCAAUACAUUUGAUGGCGACCGGCAAACGGGUGCGGAACACGUACACAACCUUCCUAUAAGUGGGGAAUAGCCCAGAGAAAUUUGGAUUAAUACCCCGUAACAUAAUGAUGUGGCAUCACAUUAUUAUUAUAGCUUCGGCGCUUAUUGAUGGGUGUGCGGCUGAUUAGAUAGUUGGCGGGGUAACGGCCCACCAAGUCUACGAUCAGUAGCUGAUGUGAGAGCAUGAUCAGCCACACGGGCACUGAGACACGGGCCCGACUCCUACGGGAGGCAGCAGUAAGGAAUAUUGGUCAAUGGACGCAAGUCUGAACCAGCCAUGCCGCGUGAAGGAUUAAGGUCCUCUGGAUUGUAAACUUCUUUUAUCUGGGACGAAAAAAGGCUAUUCUUAGUCACUUGACGGUACCAGAUGAAUAAGCACCGGCUAACUCCGUGCCAGCCGCCGCGGUAACAC